GGGCCUGCGUAGGUACGUCCAACCCCUGUGACAUACCUAUAAUUUGCCUCGGCAGACUCAACGACGGUGCUCCGAGAAAUCGGGCGCCGCUCGCUGCCAGAGGAACCCCAAACUCUAUGUAUUCUUGUGGAUCUUCUGAGUAAAACAAAACAAAUAAAUCAAAACUUUCAACAACGGAUCUCUUGGUUCUGGCAUCGAUGAAGAACGCAGCGAAAUGCGAUAAGUAAUGUGAAUUGCAGAAUUCAGUGAAUCAUCGAAUCUUUGAACGCACAUUGCGCCCGCCAGUAUUCUGGCGGGCAUGCCUGUUCGAGCGUCAUUUCAACCCUCAAGCCCUAGGGCUUGGUGUUGGGGAUCGGCGAUAGUCGCCGUCCCCCAAAUCUAGUGGCGGUCUCGCUGUAGCCUCCAUUGCGUAGUAGCUAACACCUCGCAACUGGAACGCGGCGCGGCCAAGCCGUUAAACCCCCCAACUUCUGAAUGUUGACCUCGGAUCAGGUAGGAAUACCCGCUGAACUUAAGCAUAUCAAUAAGCGGAGGAA
rnacentral:rRNA from 1 species